ACCACGUUGUAUACGUAUGUUUCGUUAUUUUAAGUUAGUAUUCUUACAUAAUACUGUUAGCUGUUACAGCUCUUCUUUAUGUCUAUGAAUUUUAUUUGUAUUUGAUGUGUGUUUCACUGUACUGGGCCCUGUGUUUUGCUCACUUUAUAGCUCCCGCUAUAUAUAUGCAUAGAGAGAACUGGUACGUGGCAAUCCCCUUGGCAGUUUUGAAGUCUAAAAACUUAAAACUAACAAAUAUGCCGGCUGUUUCCAUGGAGCCUCACUCCUUGUUUCUGACCCUAAAUAGGUGGAGCUCUAUCUACCGUUGGAGACAUUGGGAUUCCUGUGUAGAAAUUUUCUUGCAUUGUUUUAAGAUUUGAUUUUAAAGCAACUGAUAACUAAUGAAUAAAUUCUGUUAGAAAUAUUUUCCUUGGGGUUAACGCACUAUGAUAAAAGACAGUACACCUGCUGAUAAGAAAAAUAUUUCUUUUUUUUUUGGUAUAGAUUUGUAUAAUCUGAUGUUUCUGAUAGUUUCUGUAAAUGUGUCAAAUGGUCUCCUUAUUCCUCCUCGUACCCCGGCUCUGAUGACUAAGAGUUUAUUUUCCUAAGACAGUUAAAUACAGUAUUUUUACAUUUCUCCCUCAUGUUAUUUUUCCUUUUAUUUGUUGAGGAAACUUGAUAACUCCACAAAUGAGGGCUUAGCUGAUUUGCCACGUAUUAGGUACAACAAUGGUAUAGAAAUGGUAGUUUAUUAGCACUUACAGAGUGGGUGUCUUCUGGAAGUAAGCACUUUAAGCUGCCAUGCCCUGAGUGCCUUUGGUGACCAACUUUUGAUAACAUGAGAAAAAAGGAAAAGAAUCAAGAACAGCAUCAAAUGCUAGAAAAUAUUCUCUGUAAUGUUCAGUAUGCAUUCACCAUAAUAUUAUGUGUAGUGAGUAUCACAAGACCUUGGGUAUCUUUUAAACGGAUUUUUACAAAUAAGCAUUGUAUAUGUGUGAAUCUAUUAAAACCCUGAGUACAAGAAAGUAGUGCCCCAAGCUAACAAUCAGUCUUCCCAUGCUUUACCCCAACUACUUAUUAGUCAAAUUUCUAUCAGAAGAGAGGUAUAAAUGAAGAAUAAUUGUGUGAUUCACAUAAUGGCCAAUUUUAAAAGGCUCUUUGUGCUGGAAAAUUGAAGGUCAAGGAUAUCACUUGAACUGCUUUUCUCCUCUGCAUGAUUAUUCUUCCUGAGUCCCUUGUCACUCGAGAUACUCAAACAUGUAUUGACCUGCCACUUGAGUAUCAUGGAAGGGGCUCAAGCUUACGGUGAGUGGUUACAGUAGAUAAGCCUUAAAGUCCCUUCCAACUAUGAUUAUCUUCAUAUAUUACCAGCUAAAUCUCAUAUUUUCAGUUUUCAGCGAGGGUUUUAGAAGUGAAAGUCUACUGCUUAGGUUAUUUUAGAAGAGAUUUUCUUUUCCCUUGAGAUUAUAUAUAAUUUUGGUUCAUAAUUAUUGAAGUAUGUCAUUAAGAUAGUGGGUUUAGACAUUUAAGUAUUCUGUUGGGUAUUUGUAAAUAAUUUCUUGUAAACAUUGAUUAGAGAAGUUGAAGAGUUUAGAUGGUACCUUGAUGUGAUUUAACUUAGUUUUCAUGGCUGGUUCUAGAUAUUCAUGAGCCUGUGUUGUACUGAAUGGCAGAAUCAGAAUUUUCAAAUUGGGAAAUAGAAGUGAUGUAUGGACUAAUACAAUGGAGAAAUGUAGGCUAGAGCCAGAUUUUGAAAGACCUUACAUUUAUUUAUUAAUUCAUCAGACAUUUACUGAGUAACCUCUGUGUAGCAGGCAAUGUAGUUAUUCUGUGACUACAGAGGAGGUAGUCUCCGUCUUUAGGGAGCUUACAGUGUAGUUUGAUCAGUAAACGGGAGAUUACAGUGCAGUAGGGUAAGCUCCAUAUUAGGAUACUAGCCAGGUGGGAGAGUGGGGAAAAGGCAUGGAAUUCAGACUGGGGGACAUCCCUUCCCAAAAGAGUGGAAAUGCCAGGCAACUGCUGGGACUUGUGUCCCAACAUGGAGAAAGGUAUGAAAGGAAGAUCAUCUUAAUAUCAAUGGUGGAGCUGCUGGUGGGUUUGAACCACCGAGCUUUCAGUCGGCAGCCGAAUGCUUUAACUACUGUGCCACCAGGGUUUUGCUCAACAAAAGAUGUAAGGAAAUGAAGAGAACCAAUUAGGUAGGAUAAAAUGCUUAAUUUUAAAAGUAAGGAUUUUGAAAUGAUGACGAAACUUCCAAAUGGAAAUGUUCUGGUGAACUGACAGGAAUUGAAGACUGGAUGGACCUCAAAGAUCAAGAACGGGGAAAUUUGGAAUCUGUUGGUGAUACUCGAAGCUGGUAGAAUUGCUGUGCUUUUAGAGAGUGUGGUAGUGGACAUUAGUGAUGGAAGGGACAAAAAUCAGGAGGGGUGGCCAGCUGACAUCACGAGGGAUUAUUUCACAUAAAAAGAUGCUUCAUGGAGUGGAAUUGAUAAUAAAGUUCUUUGUUCUCUUUUGCAUGAAAAGGCAGGUUUUUUCAGUAGGUGUAAGGACAGCAUCUGAUAACAGUCAUGUAUCCAGUUUAAAAAAAAAAAAAAAAUGGAUAGAAUAAAACAUAGCUAUUCAGGGAAACCGUUAUAAUUUUUUGACUAUCACUAAGAAACAGUUACAUAUUUAUUAUAAAUUAUGUUUUUGUUUAUUAAAUAGGAAAAUGCCUCAGAGCCUUGUGAAUGGAAGGCCCUUGGGGGCAAGGCAGGUAACAGCUUUGUAUCUUAGGAUGUAUAAUGCUCAUACUUUUUUUUUUUUUUUAAUAAUUUUUAUUGUGCUUUAAGUGAAAGUUUACAAAUCAAGUCAGUCUCUCACACCAAAACCCAUACACAACUUGCUACAUACUCCCAAUUACUUCCCCUCUCCAUGAGACAGUCCGCUACCUCCUUCCACUCUCUCUUUUCAUGACCAUUUUGCCAGCUUCUAAGCCCCUCUACCCUCACAUCUCCCCUCUAAGCAGGAGAUGCCAACAUUGUCUCAGGUGUCCACCCAAACCAAGUAAUGCUCACACUUUUAACAAAUCUUUUUAAUGUAAAAUCUCAAAUCUCCCAGUUCAAGGAAUAGUAAUAUACAGUCAUAGAUUCAACAUUCAGAAUGAUUGAGUUGUUCAGAAUGAGUGAAUUUAGUAGGAAUCUAAGAUUAGUCAUUUAUUGGUCUGCCAAUAGUUUAUUAGUCCCUUAGUGCUAGUGGUGGUAGAGAAAAGAUUCCUAAAAUUCUUGCCUCCAUAGAAAGAGGCAUUGGCUUCUAAAAUGGCACCGCAACUUCCAUUAAAGAUGGCAACAUAAAGACUUACUAUCUAUUUUAUAUUGCCUAAAAACAUCGAGAAAGAAAAACAUUCAGACUGCCUUUGUUGAAAGUGGGAGAUACCUAUAACCCAGAUCCGCAGUGUAUGAAGAUGGAAAGUGGAUGGAGGAAUGGUAAAUAACUUAGCAGAGGAAGAGACCAAUGAAAAGCUGCCCUCACCCCAACUCUAGGAAGUGUUAGCAACUGGAAAUACAGUUUCUUGAGAAGCAACAGUGAGGAGGGACGGAAAACAGGAAAUUUGUUUUAAUGUCUACGUCAGAAACAACCUCUGGUCCCCACCUCCAUCUGGCUCCGGUCAGGCAACCACCCUUCCCCCACCCCAGCAGGAAAUGGGAGGUGGAGUAGCUCCAGAAAUAGAAUCAGCGAUGCUUUUUACUUGGGGACAAUAGUCCCCAAGGAAGGGAUGAGGCUUGAAACUGAAAAUAGGAGGACUGGAAGAAACCUGCACAAUGAAAGCAACCCUUUUCCUGCCUCAGUCCCAGAGCAUUGGGCAGCAGGUUUAGGUGGGAGAUUAGAGGGUCAUUGAGAACCUGAAUUAUUGCUAAUACAUGUCUUUUCAGUAAUUUGGUUUACGUUUUUCACAAUACUUUCUUACUUCUCAGAAACCUCCAGGUGAGAUGAUGAUGAAGAAGAACUACAUUUAUUCUGUCCCAAGUACUGUACUAGUUUCAUCGUCUCCAUCCCUCAAGGAAAGGAAACUCCUCAGAUGUUCUAAGCAGGUAUCCAAAAAACAAAGAAGGAAGAGGCCAUCGUGAGAAGCGCUAAGUUUCGGUCUCAGCUGGAGGCGGCUUAUAAAGGGAUACUUUACCGAUUGCUAGAAAUUAAAAACAAAAGUUAUUUGUUGACGUGCUUAAUGUCUUAGUGACUUAUUAAUUUAUGUUAAUUUGUAUGUUAUGGCAUCUAUAAUCUCUCCUAGUCUCUAGAAAGAUAUAAAAGAACCAAAUUACUAUGUGUUAAAUUUUUAUAGUUUCCAGACAAGUUAUUUUGUGGCACUUGACAAGAUACGCGUUGGUUUCCUUUCUCAGACCCUCCUCUCAAUUCAAGGGAAGCUCUGGUUUAUAGAGUUUUGGUCUCAAUCAGAAUUACAAAAUUUUGUGUGUUUGGGAAAUAACUUUAUUUUCUCUUGAGGGUUUUCGUUUCCCCUUUCCCUUAAGUAAUGUUCAACUGGGUGCUAGUAUAUCAUUGAAAACUUCGAUGUAGAUUUUUGGAAGUUGUUUUUAUAUUUCAACAAUUGCAACACUGUAGCUUUUAAGAUGCUUCAGCUCCUAGGAUAAUUUUUUUUAAAAAACGCAGAUGUUACAUAAUAAGUUUUAGUUCAAGAGUUGAUGCCAAUAGUUUGUAGAUAACUAUAUGCAAGUUUGUUUUGUUUUAUACAAGUAAAUAGUCUUUAAAGGAAUGUGUUUAAAUUAUAUAAAAGUCCUAACUGUAUUAAAAAUUUAAAUACAAAGAAAAUUCAUAAGAGUUAGAUACAGGUGUUUAUUUUUAUAAUCUUGAGUAAUAUGAAAUUUAGAGGUGCUAAAGGAAAAGAUCAAUAGAAUAUUUCUUUUUGAUCAAAGAUACCAUUAACAAAGUAGAAAGACAAAUGACAGACUGGGAAAAAUGCUUGUAACGAGUCAGGAAGGGUUAAUAUAAAAGCUGUAAAUAAAAAAUAAACAAUUCAGAAGAAAUUUGGGUAAAGAAAAUAAAGUUGGUAAAAGAAGUACAGGUGGCCAACAAACAUAACAAAACUAAAUCGUCUCAAUAAAACUGAAGUUUAAACAAGGUCUAAUAAUUUAUUGGUUAGGUUGUCCAAGAAUGCUGUGUCAGUCAGGGUCUAGUCAGGAAAUCACAUUUCUCUAGGGGCAUCAGACGCAGGACUUGUUAUAGGGAAUCGUUUACCUACAUGUGGGAAGGCUGGAGUGCACAAAGGGAAUGCUGAAGUAACCCAGAAAUUAGAAACUACAUGAAGCAGCUACCACCUCUAGGGUUAGAGAGACAAAAGGGAAGAGGUGGUGUUUACCAAAACCCAGGACUUUGAAUGAGAAGCCAUCAUGGAACUACUGAUAAGUGUCUAAGGGGACUCUGCAGGGCGAGAGUCUGGAGCAUCAAAACCCUGGAGCAUGAAGAAGAGCAAAGUAGGAGGCCUCACACUCCCCGAUCUCAAAACUUACUAUAUAGCCACGGUAGUCAAAACAGUCUGGUACUGGUACAAUGACAGACACAUAGACCAAUGGAAUAGAAUUGAGAACCCGGAAGUCAGUCCAUCCAGCAACGGACAGCUGAUCUUUGACAAAGGGUCGAAGUCCAUUCAGUGGGGAAGAGACGGUUUGUUUAACAAAUGGUGCUGGCAAAACUGGAUAUCUAUUUGCAGAAAAAUGAAAUAGGAUCCAUACGUCACAAAAACUAACCCAAAAUGGAUCAAAGACUUGAAUGUCAAACCUAAAACAAUAAAGUUCCUAAAAGAUAUAAUGACAAAGCUAAGGUUCCUAAUUUAUGGCAUAAAUUGACUAUCGACGUAACUAAAAAUGUACAAACAACAGAAGAUAAGCUAGAUAGCUGGGACCUCCUAAAAAUUAAAUACUUAAUUCAUCAAAAGAAUUCACUAAGAGAGUAAAAAAAAAAGGAA